UAGAUGUUCCUAACACAUGUUUCAUAGGUC
rnacentral:piRNA from 1 species